UUAAAUGCGAUGACGGAGUAAAGUAAGCUAUUUAUUAUCUUUCAGGGAGGAAGAGUCUUGACUGAAAACUCUUCUAUGUGUAGUGAUAGGUGAAGUUCCCUCCCGAGCUGCCGGCUGAACGAAAUCAAGUAGGCUAGGACGGUUCUUCCCCGUUAACAAGAAGGAGGUAUCGGAUGUCAUUCCCGUACCUUUGUCGAGUGGCCUUUUGGCUAAAGUCGGGUGGUAAUGCGAGAUAUAACUUCUCGUCCCUUCAGGGAUGAGAAGUUUUUUAUUAUACCUAGACGAAUCUUGACAAAUACGAGUUUGUCAUGCUGUACUUUUUGAGAGGGUCAAGGUUGACCAAAAUGGGUGGUAACGCGGAAGUCUACGGCUUUCGUCCCUGAG
rnacentral:ncRNA from 1 species